rnacentral:lncRNA from 1 species
AGUCCUUUCCCUCUUCCCUUCCCUACCCUGCUGCUCCUGCUGGCAGGAGGCUGUGGAGCACCCAGGAUUACAGUUGAGUGACUUGGACAAGAAAUGUGCCCAAGCUUUUUUUCCUUCCCAGUUUCUGCAAGGACAGUGACUGCCUAAGUGGAAGAGCAACCAUUGAUUCCUCGAUUUUCCCAGAGGAGGCAGCUGAAGGUUCUUUCUGUUAGAGCUGGUUUCUCUGAAAAACACCGAAAGAAGACAAAAGGGAGAAAAGCAAUUCUGAAACAAAGAGCAAAAGGGUAUGUUUUCAAAAA